AGCAGCCGCGGUAAUUCCAGCUCCAAUAGCGUAUAUUAAAGUUGCUGCAGUUAAAAAGCUCGUAGUUGAAUUUCGGGACUAAUAUGUCGGUCGUGCCUCGGUACGUACUGGUUUAUUGGUUUCUCCUUUCUGAAGAACCAUGAUGUCAUUUAUUUGGUGUCGUGGGGAAUCAGGACUGUUACUUUGAAAAAUUAGAGUGUUUAAAGCAGGCUCACGCUUGAAUACAUUAGCAUGGAAUAAUGAAAUAGGACGUUUGAUUCUAUUUUGUUGGUUUCUAGGAUCGACGUAAUGAUUAAUAGGGAUAGUUGGGGGCAUUAGUAUUCAAUUGUCAGAGGUGAAAUUCUUGGAUUUAUUGAAGACUAACUACUGCGAAAGCAUUUGCCAAGGAUGUUUUCAUUAAUCAAGAACGAAAGUUAGGGGAUCGAAGACGAUCAGAUACCGUCGUAGUCUUAACCAUAAACU
rnacentral:rRNA from 1 species